UCUCAGGAGACCCCUUCCCAUUGCCUGCCCCAGACCUCAGGGACCAUGGCUGGGUGUGUGGGUCUGUGCUUUCUGCCUUUGCAGUGUGUGGUAAUCGAGAGGGUGGGUCGGCGCGUGCUGCUCAUCGGUGGGUACAGCCUGAUGACCUGCUGGGGGAGCAUCUUCACUGUGGCCCUGUGCCUGCAGCCGGAGUGACGGGGAUCCUGGCCACAGAGCUGUUUGACCAGAUGGCCAGGCCUGCUGCCUGCAUGGUCUGCGGGGCGCUCAUGUGGAUCAUGCUCUUCCUGGUCGGCCUGGGAUUUCCCUUCAUCAUGGAGGCCUUGUCCCACUUCCUCUAUGUCCCUUUCCUUGGUGUCUGUGUCUGUGGGGCCAUCUACACUGGCCUGUUCCUUCCUGAGACCAAAGGCAAGACCUUCCAAGAGAUCUCCGAGGAAUUACACAGACUCAGCUUCCCCAGGCGGGCCCAGGGCCCCACGUGGAGAAGCCUGGAGGUUAUCCAGUCAACAGAACUCUAGUCCCAAAGGGGUGGCCAGAGCCAAAGCCAGCUACUGUCCUGUCCUCUGCUUCCUGCCAGGGCCCUGGUCCUCACUCCCUCCUGCAUUCCUCAUUUAAGGAGUGUUUAUUGAGCACUCUUUGUGUGCAGACAUGGCUCCAGGUGCUUAGCAAUCAAUGGUGAGCGUGGUGUUCCAGGCUAAAGGUAAUUAACUGACAGAAAAUCAGUAACAACAUAAUUACAGACUGGUUGUAGCAGCUCAUGACUGUAAUCCCAGCACUUUGGGAGGCCAAGGUGGGAGGAUCAAUUGAGGCCAGAGUUUGAAACCAGCCUAGGUAACAUAGUGAGACCCCCUAUUUCCACAAAAAAAUUUAAAAAUUAGCUGGGCAUGGUGGUAUGUGCUAACAGCUCUAGCUACUCAGGAGGCUGAGGCAGCAGGAUCACUUGAGUCCAAGAGUUCAAGGUAGCAGUAAGCUACGAUCACACCACUGCAUGCCAGACUGGGUGACAGAGGGAGACUUCAUCUCUUUAAAACAUAAUAAUAAUAAUUACAGACUCAGGAAAUGCAGUGAAAGAAAAAUACAGGUUGGCCAGGUGAGGUGGCUGAUGCCUGUAAUCCCAGCACUUUGGGAGGCCAAGAUGGGAAGAUUGCUUUGAGACCAGAAGUUUGAGACCAGCCUGGGCCA
rnacentral:lncRNA from 1 species